rnacentral:lncRNA from 1 species
AGUGAUUCAUUUAGAAGAGGUUUGAACCCUAACUUUCCUCUUUUUUCCAUCUCUUUUACUAUAGCCUUAAAAAGUUCAGUUGAAAUUCAGAACACUGCAGCUAAUGAGUGAAUUACAGUGGAAUGGCUGCUCAAAAUUUUCCAGAAGAAGCGUAACCAAGAGGAAAUUCUGUUUGAAAAGAAAUAUUUUGCCCUUUCAUGUGGAUUCUCACACUCUUGGUAUGUGUCUUGCCUGUGGAAGCCAGCUCUGCCGUGGGUUUCCUGCUCCUGAAUGCACUGCAGUUGCCUUCCCCAGAGCCGGAGUAAGAGCCAGUCAAACAAUGCUGGACCUACAGCCCACUGUGUCAUCAGUUCAGACCUGAGCACUAUAUAUGCCAAAUGUAUCAUAUGAUCAGCACCCAAUGGUGGAAACCUUGUUAGGUGCUUUAAAUUAUUGUCAGACAGACUCGAACUGCAUUAAUAAAAUCAGCAGAUUUGUGUAAAUUGAUUCA